rnacentral:tRNA from 1 species
GGGCCUGUAGCUCAGCCAGGUAGAGCGCCGGGCUUUUAAGCUCCGGUGAGGAGACCCGGCGGUCGGGGGUUCAAAUCCCCUCGGGCCCG